CGAUUGGCCGCGUGGAAGUCUCAACAAACACUACUGUCUUUGUUGGAGAGGUGCGAGCCGAGGCUCCCGUGGAAGCGGAGAGCCGGAGUGCAGCAUGGGGAGACGGAGCACCGGGAUCAGCAGCGCAGCUAUCCGUCAUCUGUUGGAUCUAAAACGUUGAUUGUGCCGACAUCCUGGAUCUUCUGUGAGGGCAAGGACCUGCGCUCCUCAUCCGCGUCGUCCCCGAAGGUCUCGGUUUCAGGAGGCUCCCUCUCAACACGAAGGAAGAAAAGACAA